CUGAUGCAGGAUAACUUUCUACAAGGCACUCUCCAGGAUGCUGACUGCACCAGCUUUAAAGAAAUCAGAAUAACAUGGAAAAACUAGCUAAAAUGUUUAUAAAGUUCCCUGAAAGUUUCCAGAUUCAUUGUCCACUUUUCACAGAAGCCCUGGAUCCAGCAAAACAUACAAUUCAGGCUGCACAUGGGUGAAAAGACAAGUACUUAGAGAAGACAGACCAACAGCCUGUGCUGACAACAUCUGCUGUGGAUUCCAGGCCCAGAUUUUCUCAAACUAGAACACAUUCUGAACAGUGAUGUCGCAAAACUGGCUGACUACUUCAAGAUGUGGUGCCUCUAGCCAAGCACCAGUGUACAGAGUUCAACAGCUUCACCUGAUAACCUUCAGUUGGCUUCAUUUAUUCCUGAGUGUGCUGUCCUCUCCUUCCAGUUUCCCCCAAACUGUAGAAUUUUUGCAUGCUUGUAACUGCUUUUAUUGAUUACCCAGCUCAAGCAAUUUCUCUAAUGUAUUGCAAGAAGAAAAAACAAGUGCAGGCCUAAGAUGUACCUUUAUAGAGUAAACAGUAUAGUACAAAGACCCAAUACUGCCUCACUUGAAAUCAAGGGAAAACUAUCCCAAUUUCAGAUUUGUGUUACUACAUUUCAAAAGCUUCCAUAUGACUGAAAGACUGUGCAAUAAACUUUAAAAAAAAAAAAACCAACCCCCCCACUUCCCCUACCCUCCCUUGCCCAAAGUUCAUUGCACAUCCAUUAGACUACUUCAAAAACCACAUACUUGGAAAUGCAAUUGCCAUGAGUACAAACAUUCAGUGCUUUUUAAAACCUUCUAACAAUGUUUUCGUAAACAGUGUAUUGUCCUGGGUGGUGGGAUCAGGGCUCCACUGCCUGUCCUGCAAACACACAAUGCCUCCAGUUAGCUGGAAAUAUUAGGGGUCCAGCUAAUUAAUCAUUAAAAAAAGAAUUUAUGGAUUA